AUUGAACGCUGGCGGCAUGCCUUACACAUGCAAGUCGAACGGCAGCACGGGAGCUUGCUCCUGGUGGCGAGUGGCGAACGGGUGAGUAAUACAUCGGAACGUACCCUGAAGUGGGGGAUAACGUAGCGAAAGUUACGCUAAUACCGCAUAUUCUGUGAGCAGGAAAGAGGGGGAGUCGCAAGACCUCUUGCUUUAGGAGCGGCCGAUGUCGGAUUAGCUAGUUGGUGAGGUAAAGGCUCACCAAGGCGACGAUCCGUAGCGGGUCUGAGAGGAUGAUCCGCCACACUGGGACUGAGACACGGCCCAGACUCCUACGGGAGGCAGCAGUGGGGGAAUUUUGGACAAUGGGCGCAAGCCUGAUCCAGCCAUGCCGCGUGAGUGAAGAAGGCCUCGGUUGUAAAGCUCUUCG
rnacentral:rRNA from 1 species